ACGAACGCUGGCGGCGUGGAUAAGACAUGCAAGUCGAACGAGAGAAUUGCUAGCUUGCUAAUAAUUCUCUAGUGGCGCACGGGUGAGUAACACGUGAGUAACCUGCCCCCGAGAGCGGGAUAGCCCUGGGAAACUGGGAUUAAUACCGCAUAGUAUCGAAAGAUUAAAGCAGCAAUGCGCUUGGGGAUGGGCUCGCGGUCUAUUAGUUAGUUGGUGAGGUAACGGCUCACCAAGGCGAUGACGGGUAGCCGGUCUGAGAGGAUGUCCGGCCACACUGGAACUGAGACACGGUCCAGACACCUACGGGUGGCAGCAGUCGAGAAUCAUUCACAAUGGGGGAAACCCUGAUGGUGCGACGCCGCGUGGGGGAAUGAAGGUCUUCGGAUUGUAAACCCCUGUCAUGUGGGAGCAAAUUAAAAAGAUAGUACCACAAGAGGAAGAGACGGCUAACUCUGUGCCAGCAGCCGCGGUAAUACAGAGGUCUCAAGCGUUGUUCGGAAUCACUGGGCGUAAAGCGUGCGUAGGCUGUUUCGUAAGUCGUGUGUGAAAGGCGCGGGCUCAACCCGCGGACGGCACAUGAUACUGCGAGACUAGAGUAAUGGAGGGGGAACCGGAAUUCUCGGUGUAGCAGUGAAAUGCGUAGAUAUCGAGAGGAACACUCGUGGCGAAGGCGGGUUCCUGGACAUUAACUGACGCUGAGGCACGAAGGCCAGGGGAGCGAAAGGGAUUAGAUACCCCUGUAGUCCUGGCAGUAAACGGUGCACGCUUGGUGUGCGGGGAAUCGACCCCCUGCGUGCCGGAGCUAACGCGUUAAGCGUGCCGCCUGGGGAGUACGGUCGCAAGAUUAAAACUCAAAGAAAUUGACGGGGACCCGCACAAGCGGUGGAGUAUGUGGCUUAAUUCGAUGCAACGCGAAGAACCUUACCUGGGCUUGACAUGUAAUGAACAACAUGUGAAAGCAUGCGACUCUUCGGAGGCGUUACACAGGUGCUGCAUGGCCGUCGUCAGCUCGUGUCGUGAGAUGUUUGGUUAAGUCCAGCAACGAGCGCAACCCCUGUUGCCAGUUACCAGCACGUGAAGGUGGGGACUCUGGCGAGACUGCCCAGAUCAACUGGGAGGAAGGUGGGGACGACGUCAGGUCAGUAUGGCCCUUAUGCCCAGGGCUGCACACGUACUACAAUGCCCAGUACAGAGGGGGCCGAAGCCGCGAGGCGGAGGAAAUCCUAAAAACUGGGCCCAGUUCGGACUGUAGGCUGCAACCCGCCUACACGAAGCCGGAAUCGCUAGUAAUGGCGCAUCAGCUACGGCGCCGUGAAUACGUUCCCGGGUCUUGUACACACCGCCCGUCACAUCAUGGAAGCCGGUCGCACCCGAAGUAUCUGAAGCCAACCGCAAGGAGGCAGGGUCCUAAGGUGAGACUGGUAACUGGGAUG
rnacentral:rRNA from 1 species